GUGUGUGUUUGCUGCUCUGCCGUAAGGGUCGACAAUUGGCUAGGAGAUCAGAGAGUUUUGCAUUUCAUUGGGGUAUAUUGAAAAAUACAUAUAAACAGAAAAUUAAAUUUUAGCUGUCAUCGUACGUGACUGGAAUACAAAACAAAAAUAUUGCGUGUGUGCGUGUGUGCGUGUAGACUUUUUACUGGUAUUCAGCGUGACAGCAUAUGGGCGAUAGUGCUGGAAAAUGUGCGAAUGUGCGACUAUUUAAUGGAAUUCGAAUGUAAAAUCACAGUUAAGAUAAUGCAAAGAUUUGUAUAAUAUUUUCGGAAAUUUCCCCAGAUGCUAUUGAAAGAGCUCCGCGGCGGGUGAGUGUGCUUAAGUUUUACAUUUUUAUGCUGGGGCAAUGCCAAACGUUCCAUUGGCCCCUUGAAACUAAUUUUUAGUUGGGCGUGGCACACAAAAUGCACUCAAUUUGACAGUUUACAGAAUGCGACGAAUUUUUAUUCAUUUCAUAAAGUUUACCCGAAACGCCAGCAGCGAGGCACAUGUAUAUGUGCACACAGGUAAGUCCCCUUAGGUAUACAUAUUGGAUAUAUGCAUGUACUAUAUGUACAUAAAGACACAAGCCCUCAAAAGCCGCCGCAUCUCGAGCAGCAAUUUGAAAAGGCAAACGACAGUUGAGCAAAGCAAAGCGAUUUCAUUAAAGCUUUUGAAAUAUUAAAGCACAUUCAAUGAGUGUGCGUGCCUGUGUGUGUGUGU